UACGAAGGGGGCGAGCGUUGCUCGGAAUGACUGGGCGUAAAGGGCGCGUAGGCGGCUGUGACAGUCAGGUGUGAAAUUCCCGGGCUCAACCUGGGGGCGGCACUUGAGACGUUAUGGCUAGAGUGAGGAAGAGGGUCGUGGAAUUCCCAGUGUAGAGGUGAAAUUCGUAGAUAUUGGGAAGAACACCGGUGGCGUAGGCGGCGACCUGGUCCUUGACUGACGCUGAGGCGCGAAAGCGUGGGGAG
rnacentral:rRNA from 1 species